CAAAAGACAGUCAGGCUUGAUCGGGACUCAAACACACGGGACUUACCUUGGCUACUUUAAGAACUCCUCACCAGCAUGUGGUGAAGCUCCAGAGUCUUUGCUGAGUAGCAGAGAAGUAACAGGGAAAGACACCAACCUGAAGGGACCACGGGGCAGGGACAAGGGGCAUCUUUUCCUAUCUGACAAGCCCACCAGCCAGGACGAGGCAGACUGAUGGAGGUCUCAGAGGAUGCCUCUGUAAUAGGUGACAAUGAGUUCCCGGACCUGGACCCAUCCCACCCUAUAAAUUAGACACAACCCUGGGGAAAAGGAGGUUGAUUCCUGAGUUAACCAAGACAAAGAUUCU
rnacentral:lncRNA from 1 species